rnacentral:rRNA from 1 species
UGAUACCCUAUUAUUGAAAAUGUAAAAUAGUUAUUUAUGGUAUUAUUAGUUAUGGUCUUUAAAUUAAAAGAAUUUGACGGUGAUUUAAUCAUUUUAGAGGAACCUGUCCUGUAAAUGAUAAUCCACGAUAGAUUUUACCUUAAUUAAAUAAGUUUGUAUAUCUCUGUUUAUGUGAAUGUUUUAUUAGAAUAUUUUCGUAAAUUUGUAUUAAACAUAUAUCAGGUCAAGGUGCAGUUUAUAUUAAGGGUUGAGAUGGGUUACAUUAGUGUAUAACUUUGGAUUAAAUUAUGUAUAUGAUUUAUGAAAUUGGAUUUAAUUGUAAUUUGUAUUAUA